rnacentral:rRNA from 1 species
CCUACGGGGCGCUGCAGUGGGGAAUAUUGGACAAUGGGCGAAAGCCUGAUCCAGCCAUGCCGCGUGUGUGAAGAAGGCCUUCGGGUUGUAAAGCACUUUCAGUGGGGAAGAAAGCCUUGGGGCUAAUACCCUCGAGGAAGGACAUCACCCACAGAAGAAGCACCGGCUAACUCCGUGCCAGCAGCCGCGGUAAUACGGAGGGUGCGAGCGUUAAUCGGAAUUACUGGGCGUAAAGCGCGCGUAGGCGGUCUGAUAAGCCGGUUGUGAAAGCCCCGGGCUCAACCUGGGAACGGCAUCCGGAACUGUCAGGCUAGAGUGCAGGAGAGGAAGGUAGAAUUCCCGGUGUAGCGGUGAAAUGCGUAGAGAUCGGGAGGAAUACCAGUGGCCAAGGCGGCCUUCUGGACUGACACUGACGCUGAGGUGCGAAAGCGUGGGUAGCAAACAGGAUUAGAUACCCUAGUAGUC